UACAGCACGUCGGUGAGAAAAGGGAAGAUGGGUGCAGCUCGGCUGCUUUGCCCCCAGCAGGCACAGGACCUUCACAAUGUUUGCUGCAGGUGUGGCACUCCUCAGGGUUCUUACUGACUUACUAUAGUCUUACUGACUACAGGGGGCAUGGACCUGUGAUGCCUCAGGGAGGCACCAGGACUGGGUUCCAGGCUUGGUGAUUAGAGAGCUGUCAUUUGUUCCUGAGGUUAAAACCAAAGAGGGAGAGGAGGAGUCCCUGCAGUGAGAAAGCCAGACAGUUCAAACUGAAUGCUUUGUUGUCAGCAUCUCUCCACAGCUUCCUUUCCCAAGCCCAUCUGCAACUGAGGCUGGCUAAGAGUUGUUCAAAGAAGCCAGAAUGGCUGUGGCAGUGUUAAUCAGGGCAGCGGUCAUGGCUGAAAUCAAGCAGCUCCUCACGCUGCAAAGGCCUGGUAAGAAGAAAUAAGGGUGGACCAGUCUCAAGUCUCUAACUCGGGAUCAAGCAGGACCGUGAAAACUAAGUCUUUCUGUGAACCAGAAACCCCAACCACUGGGCAUAUGCUUUCUGUCUUUUUCCCAUAAACAUUUGAGUAAGUUUUGUUUCGUUGUGCAGCUGUCACAUUAAUCAGCAUGCUGCGACUGUUUACCAUUUUGCUCUAGGACCUCACAGCUUGCAGAGCAGCAAACGUUGGUCUUCGAAUGCAAAAUGUAGUACAAUAUCUCAGCAGUGAAACGUAACAACUGCCCACUUUGGCGGGGGGGACGACAGAGCAGAAGUGUCUGGAAAAACAGCUAGCUCUCCUGUGUAACACCAGCCAGAAGCAUUCAUGCAGUUCCUCUUGUGUCCAGUCCAAUAACUAAGGAUGAUCAUUUUUAUUACAAAGCUAGAUUCAUGCAUACAGAAUUCUGGAUGAAAACUUUUGUUUGGAAUUUUAAGACUCAAAACAUGCCAAAACAAUCCUCCACAAGGUAGUAUCACGUGUGUUUGUGCACGCAGUAAAGGCGCAAAGUAUGAAACAACUCAAAAAACUAGAUGCCAGGCUCCCUCACGACCUGGAGCUUGCCUACAAUUGACCUCAGCUUAUGUUCUUAUACAGCAAAGCUGAGUAGAUAUGGAUGUGCAUGGCUCCUUCU